rnacentral:rRNA from 1 species
CGGCGUGCUUAACACAUGCAAGUCGAACGGAAAGGCCCUGCUUUUGUGGGGUGCUCGAGUGGCGAACGGGUGAGUAACACGUGAGUAACCUGCCCUUGACUUUGGGAUAACUUCAGGAAACUGGGGCUAAUACCGGAUAGGAGCUCCUGCUGCAUGGUGGGGGUUGGAAAGUUUCGGCGGUUGGGGAUGGACUCGCGGCUUAUCAGCUUGUUGGUGGGGUAGUGGCUUACCAAGGCUUUGACGGGUAGCCGGCCUGAGAGGGUGACCGGCCACAUUGGGACUGAGAUACGGCCCAGACUCCUACGGGAGGCAGCAGUGGGGAAUAUUGCACAAUGGGCGGAAGCCUGAUGCAGCAACGCCGCGUGCGGGAUGACGGCCUUCGGGUUGUAAACCGCUUUCGCCUGUGACGAAGCGUGAGUGACGGUAAUGGGUAAAGAAGCACCGGCUAACUACGUGCCAGCAGCCGCGGUGAUACGUAGGGUGCGAGCGUUGUCCGGAUUUAUUGGGCGUAAAGGGCUCGUAGGUGGUUGAUCGCGUCGGAAGUGUAAUCUUGGGGCUUAACCCUGAGCGUGCUUUCGAUACGGGUUGACUUGAGGAAGGUAGGGGAGAAUGGAAUUCCUGGUGGAGCGGUGGAAUGCGCAGAUAUCAGGAGGAACACCAGUGGCGAAGGCGGUUCUCUGGGCCUUUCCUGACGCUGAGGAGCGAAAGCGUGGGGAGCGAACAGGCUUAGAUACCCUGGUAGUCCACGCUGUAAACGGUGGGUACUAGGUGUGGGGUCCAUUCCACGGGUUCCGUGCCGUAGCUAACGCUUUAAGUACCCCGCCUGGGGAGUACGGCCGCAAGGCUAAAACUCAAAGGAAUUGACGGGGCCCCGCACAAGCGGCGGAGCAUGCGGAUUAAUUCGAUGCAACGCGUAGAACCUUACCUGGGUUUGACAUGGAUCGGGAGUGCUCAGAGAUGGGCGUGCCUCUUUUGGGGUCGGUUCACAGGUGGUGCAUGGCUGUCGUCAGCUCGUGUCGUGAGAUGUUGGGUUAAGUCCCGCAACGAGCGCAACCCUUGUUCACUGUUGCCAGCACGUUAUGGUGGGGACUCAGUGGAGACCGCCGGGGUCAACUCGGAGGAAGGUGGGGAUGACGUCAAGUCAUCAUGCCCCUUAUGUCCAGGGCUUCACGCAUGCUACAAUGGCUGGUACAGAGAGUGGCGAGCCUGUGAGGGUGAGCGAAUCUCGGAAAGCCGGUCUCAGUUCGGAUUGGGGUCUGCAACUCGACCUCAUGAAGUCGGAGUCGCUAGUAAUCGCAGAUCAGCAACGCUGCGGUGAAUACGUUCCCGGGGCUUGUACACACCGCCCGUCAAGUCAUGAAAGUUGGUAACACCCGAAGCCGGUGGCCUAACCGUUGUGGGGGAGCCGUCGAAGGUGGGACUGGUGAUUAGGACUAAGUCAUAA